AAUGAUAACCUGUUCCGACAGCAGCUGGGUCCUCGGUUUCUGUACUGGCCAGGCCACAGCUGAGGCAGCCUGUGUCCAGAGGCACUUGCCUAAGGGAAGGAGGGCUCAUCUGGCAGUUGAAAAGCCUGUACCCACUUCAUCAUGCUCCAUGGAGUGGAUAUCAAAUUGCUGAAUGCCUUCCUGAAGUUGCACCAGGCAGAACAGGAGAGACCCAAGUUUAUUGCCUGGCCCUAUCUCCAUAUCCUGCUCAAGCCUUUUCCCCGGGGAGCUGGUAACCAUACUUUAUCUCAUUCUUUCAUGUGCUUCCACUUCUGACCUGCUAUGAAGUUGA
rnacentral:lncRNA from 1 species